rnacentral:rRNA from 1 species
CCUACGGGAGGCAGCAGUGAGGAAUAUUGGUCAAUGGACGGAAGUCUGAACCAGCCAUGCCGCGUGCAGGAAGACGGCUCUAUGAGUUGUAAACUGCUUUUGUACAAGGGUAAACCUGGAUACGUGUAUUCAGCUGAAAGUACUGUACGAAUAAGGAUCGGCUAACUCCGUGCCAGCAGCCGCGGUAAUACGGAGGAUCCAAGCGUUAUCCGGAUUUAUUGGGUUUAAAGGGUGCGUAGGCGGAUGGAUAAGUUAGAGGUGAAAUGUCCAGGCUUAACUUGGGAACUGCCUCUAAUACUGUUGAGCUAGAGAGUAGAUGCGGUAGGCGGAAUGUAUGGUGUAGCGGUGAAAUGCUUAGAGAUCAUACAGAACACCGAUUGCGAAGGCAGCUUACCAAGCUACAUCUGACGUUGAGGCACGAAAGCGUGGGGAGCAAACAGGAUUAGAUACCCGAGUAGUC